AUAUCGAACUGUUGUCCUCUUCGUGAGACAAAGUUUCGUACUUACAGAGAAUGCCCUUCUCUUCGUGAGAGGGAUUCCUAUUAUAUGAGAUUCUAGAUCUCGCAAUCAACAGAGUACUAUAAAUGCCGAAGUGUUUUAUCUCCCAGCAAUGAAAAAAGACGAAUAUUGGAUGGAAACAAAUAGAAGUACAUCCCGAAAUGUGGGGAUCAGAGGAAAGGAGAAAACAAAGGGAUGAGGAAUAUUGUAUAAACACGGACUGUUCUUCGCCCAGUGUUCUUUUCAUAGCGAGACAAAGAUCGAACACAAGGUCAGCAACUAGGAAGAGGAAAAUAACCAAAUCUAGCGAUUUGUGCAGUUUGUUGGGGGAAGGGCAAUCCAAAGAGACUACAAAACAUUCGACUCUUCGAUGAUGAUACAUUCUUCUUCGGGAGACGAAUUCAGUCUUAGCCAAUGAUCUGGCUUCAGCACAGAACAAGGUCCAACUUUUAUAUCUGAGAAAAUAUUUUAACUCCCUAAUUUACCAAGGAGCCAUGGCAUGUCGCCUAUCCUCUCCUGUGUCAUAAUUGUUAA